CCGAGAGAGGUCGUCGUGGAAGUCUCCUGGCUUCUCCCCUGCGGGCGCCGCAGGCCUCUCAGGGUUCCGUUUGGUGGCUUUAAAAUUCUGCUCAGCGCCCAACUUCAAAAAACAGCCAAUGACCCAUCCUUAGUCAUCAGUAAUUAAUGUCUCGACUGGGAUGAGUUGGUUAUCUAUCUGCAAGGAGCCUUGCACCCUGGAGACCUCUCUUCAUACCCGGAGGUAUUCUGUCCAGUAAUUCUCUCAGUGACAGGAAUGAACUUGGAAGUUCAAAUGAGAACACAGCACCACAUUUGGAAUCAGCUGUCUCUCCAAGAAGUCCUCAGAAAUGGUAUUCAGAGGGAAAUGAUAUAAAGAAAUCACAAUCUGGGCUUCUAGUUGUGUUCAUUGCUUCUCAGUCCACAUUUCUGAGCUUUUCCAAUGAAAGACAUUUUUAGGGUCAAAAUACAUCAUGAGUUUGCAUUGAUACUUUCAGUUCAAAAUCAUGAUUCCAGGCAUCAGCAACCAAAAACAAGGAAAUUACCAAAAAAGACUAUAAUUAAACAAACAAGAACAACAAAAACCACAGGAUUAUGUCGAAAGAACUCAGAAGCCAACUUCAAGAAGUUUUCUCGUGUCAAAGAUGGCACAAUUAGAUUAGAGCUCUAAAGGGAUAAUAACUAUAAGGUAUUAAAAUAUGUUUAAAUGUAGAUGUUGAU